rnacentral:lncRNA from 1 species
AACAAACACAACAUUACCCUCUCCCGCAUCUCUCAUGCAAAGUGUCCCAAAGAGGCUGGCAGAAUGGAAUUGAGCUGAGUCGCAAUGAGAAAGCAUACACGCCAUAAAGGAGCAUUCGAUAUAGAAGCAAUCACUCCAAGGUGAUCCGUGCCAUCAGUCAGUCAGAGGUGUAAAUCCCACGGGACGCAUGAGGUAUGUGGCUGGCCGGGAUGCCUAUUUUCUAGGGGCAAUGAAUGAAUGGAUCUCUCCCUCCUGCCCAGGCCCCAAUGCUUUUAGCAAUUGGCACCGUGGCAGAAUUUAUACCAUGAUUCUUGUAAACUGUACUUUCUCUCUCUCUCUUUUUCAAAGGUUCCUUUCAAUAAAAUGCAGAUGGGAUUGUUUGAGAGCCGCCUCGCAUGUGUUUAUCGGUUACUUCUGCCUCGCUGCUUAUGCAGAUUUAUUCUGUGAAGCUUUGAACACUCGGUGACUCGGAAUGGAGAAUUUUCAGUUUAGUAAAGCACACAGUUCCUAAGUGUUAUUUGGAUGUGGAAUCUGUUCCUCUGCUCUUCCCUUGUUUGGAGAUAACGAUAUUUUCUGCUGCCCCAUUUGACAGAUUUGACCUCCAGCAUUUCAGUGUUAAUCUGAACUGGUAAGUGAUCAAAGCUUAUAUCCUGUUUUCUUUUCAGACAAGACUGACUUAAAAAAAAAAUCAU